UACGAAGGGAGCUAGCGUUGUUCGGAAUUACUGGGCGUAAAGCGUGCGUAGACGGUUGCGUAAGUCAGAUGUGAAAGCCCCGGGCUCAACCUGGGAAUUGCAUUUGAGACUGCGUAGCUAGGGUGCGGAAGAGGGAAGCGGAAUUUCCGGUGUAGCGGUGAAAUGCGUAGAUAUCGGAAGGAACACCAGUGGCGAAAGCGGCUUCCUGGUCCAGCACCGACGUUCAGGCACGAAAGCGUGGGGAGCAAACAGG
rnacentral:rRNA from 1 species